rfam:Xylona heveae TC161 unplaced genomic scaffold L228scaffold_11, whole genome shotgun sequence.
GUCUCGAUGGUCUAGUUGGCUAGGGCGCCGGUCUCAUAGACAAGACCUGGUAUCAGUAGAUGCCAUCAAAUACGUCGUGAUUAGCUUGAUUCAAACAGGCUGAGUGAUCCGGAGAUCGGGAGUUCGAUCCUCCCUCGAGACA